AGAGUUUGAUCCUGGCUCAGAAUCAACGCUGGCGGCGUGCCUCAGACAUGCAAGUCGAAUGAUUAAAGCUCCCUUCGGGGAGUGCAUAAAGUGGCGCACGGGUGAGUAACACGUAAGUAAUCUACCUUCGAGUGGGGAAUAACCCGGGGAAACCCGAGCUAAUACCGCAUAACGCAGCGGCAUCGCAAGAUGACAGUUGUUAAAGGAGCAAUCCGCUUGAAGAGGAGCUUGCGGCAGAUUAGCUAGUUGGUAAGGUAAUGGCUUACCAAGGCUACGAUCUGUAUCCGGUCUAAGAGGACGGUCGGACACACUGACACUGAAUAACGGGUCAGACUCCUACGGGAGGCAGCAGUCGGGAAUUUUGGGCAAUGGGGGAAACCCUGACCCAGCAACGCCGCGUGAAGGAUGAAGUAUUUCGGUAUGUAAACUUCGAAAGAAUGGGAAGAAUAAAUGACGGUACCAUUAUAAGUCCCGC
rnacentral:rRNA from 1 species